CUACGGGUCGCAGCAGUGAGGAAUAUUGCACAAUGGGGGGAACCCUGAUGCAGCAACGCCGCGUGGAGGAUGACGCAUUUCGGUGUGUAAACUCCUUUUAUAUGUCAAGAAAAUGACGGUAGCAUAUGAAUAAGCGCCGGCUAACUCCGUGCCAGCAGCCGCGGUAAUACGGAGGGCGCAAGCGUUACUCGGAAUCACUGGGCGUAAAGGACGCGUAGGCGGGUUGAAAAGUCAGGUGUGAAAGCCUACAGCUUAACUGUAGAACUGCACUUGAAACUUCUAAUCUAGAGUAUGGGAGGGGGAGAUGGAAUUAGUGGUGUAGGGGUAAAAUCCGUAGAUAUCACUAGGAAUACCUAAAGCGAAGGCGAUCUCCUGGAACAUUACUGACGCUAAGGCGGGAAAGCGUGGGGAGCAAACAGGAUUAGAUACCCCAGUAGUC
rnacentral:rRNA from 1 species